rnacentral:rRNA from 1 species
UACCAGCACCCCGAGUGGUCGGGACGAUUAUUGGGCCUAAAGCAUCCGUAGCCGGCCUUACAAGUCCUCCGUUAAAUCCAGCUGCUUAACAGAUGGGCUGCGGAGGAUACUAUAAGACUAGGAGGCAGGAGAGGCAAGCGGUACUCAGUGGGUAGGGGUAAAAUCCGUUGAUCCAUUGAAGACCACCAGUGGCGAAGGCGGCUUGCCAGAAUGCGCUCGACGGUGA